rnacentral:tRNA from 1 species
GCUCCGAGGUGAUUUUCAUGUUGAAUUGCAAGUUCAAAGGAGCAGUGUAAGUCUGCCGGGGCUUC